GAAUUUUUGCUCUUUUAGUAUUUGUCUAGAAGGCUUUCUGAGGUCAGAAAGCCCAU
rnacentral:snRNA from 1 species